CACACUGCAACCUGGUGCCCAUUUCUCCUUGGGCAAGGUAAGCAGCCAGGGGAAGGGGUGGACCAGGAAGGCCACAGUGCUUCUGGAGAGCUGGCACUCUAAUGAGUUUCCUGAGUUCCAGCUGGGAUUGUCAAAAGGAUGAAAUGCGUUCAUUUGUUUGUCCUCCAUGUCUGAAAAGUUGAUUUAGCAUCUGCAGCGUGCCAGAACUGUCCUGGUCUCGGGGAUAUACAGGUGAACUGAACAGUGUGGGCCAAUGGGAAAUCAGAGCUCAUAAUACAGCCACUGCUACCCACCAGCAAAGGAGGCUUGCCCUGGGCACUCCGGCUCUCCGAUAAGUUUGUCAUCAAAAUGAACCAAGGAUGAAUUUCUGUCAACUUCCUCCUUGUUUUCAGCCCCAUCUGCUUCUCUGUCUGCCUUGGAUUCAGGGUUCCUAUGACACAGUGUAUAAGUAAAUACUGUGCAGUAAAAGUUGCUGUCUUGUGAGUUACUACACAAAUGCCAUUUCAUAUCAUCUCUGUCACUGAUAUUUCAUGCCACCUUUUCUGCCAUGUACAGUAAGUUGCCAUUGUGUGGGGGAGAGCAAAGGCCAUUGUUUGGAAUUAGUUUAGUGAUAAUCACCCGGUGAUUCUGGACUGACAAUUCUGGGGUCAUGGAAGAUCCAUGAAGGAGAUGAGAGAAAGCAGCCCACUAGCCCUUGAGAAGUGCCUUAGCUUGACAAGGAGACUGACAGGCUCACUUUCACAUGGCCAUGCUCCUCCAGGGAGCUUCAUUCCAACAUGGCCCUGGAGAAGCUCAGAGACACAGCCUUACAUCAUCUGUACUAUAUGUACACUUGGUCAGGCUGUGUAAACUUUGACAUGUGGGUGUCAAUCUUUCUCAUAUUUGCAGAUGGCUUUAUCAGAGCGUGAUUAGUUUCCAGAACAAAUUUGAGCAAAAGAAAACAUUACCUACAGUAUGUAAGCCAACAGACCAGCUAGUUUUCAGAUUUGUCUAUUUACAUGGGCACUAGAUGUUUUGCUAAAGCUCUCUAAAACUGAUGGUAAUUGCACAGUGCCAGUGUGUUAGUGGAAGCUGAUGAAUUGUAAAGGUUUUAUAAACAACCAGGGUGGAUUUGGCCACAGCCUUCCUAGUAAUGUUUGUUAAUCUCCCUGAGCAAGUGUGCCCCUAACACAAUGUAAAUACGCCAGAAUUUGGAGGUGUCAAUAGUGUAACUUUUACUGUUUGUAAAAUCAUUCUUUGAUAUCAUCAGUAAGUUUACUGAAUGUCCCAUGGCCAAAUAUAAUAAAACCUUAAG